rnacentral:rRNA from 1 species
GUGGGGAAUAUUGGACAAUGGGCGAAAGCCUGAUCCAGCCAUGCCGCGUGUGUGAAGAAGGUCUUCGGAUUGUAAAGCACUUUAAGUUGGGAGGAAGGGCAGUAAGUUAAUACCUUGCUGUUUUGACGUUACCGACAGAAUAAGAACCGGCUAACUUCGUGCAAGCAGCCGCGGUAAUACGAAGGGUGCAAGCUUUAAUCGGAAUUACUGGGGGUAAAGCGGGCGUAGGUGGUUUUGUAAGUUGGAGGUGAAAUCCCCGGGCUCAACCUGGGAACUGCCUCCAAAACUGCAUGACUAGAGUACGGUAGAGGGUAGUGGAAUUUCCUGUGUAGCGGUGAAAUGCGUAGAUAUAGGAAGGAACACCAGUGGCGAAGGCGACUACCUGGACUGAUACUGACACUGAGGUGCGAAAGCGUGGGGAGCAAACAGGAUUAGAAACCCGAGUAGUCC